UACAGAGGGUGCGAGCGUUAAUCGGAAUUACUGGGCGUAAAGCGUGCGUAGACGGUUAUUUAAGUCGGGUGUGAAAGCCCCGGGCUCAACCUGGGAAUUGCAUUCGAGACUGAAUAGCUAGGGUACGGUAGAGAGAAGUGGGAUUUCCGGUGUAGCGGUGAAAUGCGUAGAUAUCGGAAGGAACAUCAGUGGCGAAAGCGACUUCCUGGACCAGUACCGACGUUCAGGCACGAAAGCGUGGGGAGCAAACAGG
rnacentral:rRNA from 1 species